AAAAUAGUUUGUCACUUUUGUUUAUUUUGGGAAAAAAAAAACCAGGGUCUAUUUGCACCCAUUUAAAACAGUAAGGAAAGUCGUGGCAUACCUAUAUUCAUUGAAGUGGAGAUUUCAAGAAGAGAAUUUGGAACGUCCAUUCGUAUUUCUUUCAAAAAAAUUUAUUUUAUUUAGGUAAGAUACUUUUGUGCCAAUGUUUUCAUUUCGUUAUGCUCUUAUAUUCAAUUAAGUGUGCAUGGAUUGCUAGUGGACCUUUGGAUUCUUUGAAAAAGAGAGAUGAAAUCUUACGGGAUUAUAAGAGUACCUUAAGAUGGGUGUAUCACUUGGUCACCCAUAUAUUCCAUACGAGCAAAGUAGUAUGAAGUAUAAAUUUUAUUUGUUAUAUAAUUGCGUAUGGAAACUGCACAUAUCUCGUUGAAUGUUUUCGAAUACUCAUUCUUACAAAUAUUUUUUUCAGAUUGGUUUGGUUCAAUUGGAACCAUGGCAAAUUGGUGAUGUGGACUACCAAGGGGAUCCAAGGAAAAAUAAAAAUAAGAAUUUAGUUAUUUCCUUUUAUGUCUCUAAAUUAUUUGUAAGUUUUAUUUGUUUAAAGAC
rnacentral:lncRNA from 1 species